rnacentral:rRNA from 1 species
AUUGAACGCUGGCGGCAGGCCUAACACAUGCAAGUCGAGCGGAGCGGCGGACGGGUGAGUAAUGCCUAGGAAUCUGCCUGGGAGUGGGGGAUAACGUCCGGAAACGGGCGCUAAUACCGCAUACUAUCAGAUGAGCCUGGGUCGGCUUAGCUAGUUGGUGGGGUAAAGGCAUACCAAGGCGACGAUCCGUAACUGGUCUGAGAGGAUGAUCAGUCACACUGGAACUGAGACACGGGCCAGACUCCGACGGUAGGCAGCAGUGGGGAAUAUUGGACAAUGGGCGAAAGCCUGACCGAGCCAUGCCGCGUGUGUGAAGAAGUUCUUCGGAUUGUAAAGCACUUUAAGUAGGGAGGCGUUACCAACAGAAUAAGCACCGGCUAACUUCGUGCCAGCAGCCGCGGUAAUUC